rnacentral:tRNA from 1 species
AGGGCCGUAGUCCAAUAGGUAGAGACACACGAUUUAGGUUCGUGCCAGUGCGGGUUCGAGUCCCGUCGGCCCUAC